ACAGCUAAUAAAAUUUGAAGGAAAAGCUUAAUCGAUAGUGUGGAAGAAAGAGAAGAAUGGCGGAAGAGGGACAGGUGAUCGGUGUCCACUCCGUGGAUGAGUGGAAGGGACAUCUGGAGAAGGGAAAGGAGAGCAAGAAACUGAUUGUGGUGGAUUUUACUGCUUCUUGGUGUGGCCCAUGCCGUUUCAUUGCCCCAAUUCUAGCAGAGAUUGCUAAGAAGUUGCCGAAUGUAGUCUUCCUCAAGGUGGAUGUGGAUGAAAUGGAAGUGAGUAUACCUGAAUCUUCAUCAUAACUUCAUUUUAUUUCUAAUCCUAAAUCUCGAAGUGUUUUGAGGACUAUUUCCUUAAAUAAGAAUCUUCCAAUCACCUUGGUUUUUCUUCAGUCUGUUUCUAAGGAGUGGAGCAUUGAGGCUAUGCCAACCUUCCUGUUCUUGAAAGAAGGCGAACUGGUGGACAAGGUUGUGGGUGCUAAGAAGGAGGAGCUGCAACUCACAAUAAGCAAACAUGCUACUGCUGCUGCUUGAAGUGUCGUAUGAAUAUGUUGAGAAUAAUAAGUUAUUGUUUUCGAGUCAGUUUGCAAUUAGCUAUUUCUGUAUCAGCUUGCGUGAUUUCAGUGUGGGUUUGGAGUCGGAGUAUGUGUAAAUGAAAUUGUUGCACAAUCGUACUUGAAAUGCAUUUGAUUAUGAAACUAGCAAGAUUAGCAACCAACUUGACGGUUUAUAAAAAUAUUCAGCUUUGUGCGUUAUUCUUUUAUAGUUGCUGUGACAUUUGUAACUGUGACAUUUGUAAUUUUUAUUAAUUGCUCAAAAGCAGAAAUAGGUAUCCUCGUUCUCUAUAGUAGUGUUAAUCAGUUAUGGAUUAUAACGGUGGCACUGUGAUUUGAAGUUCCUGCCCUUCGAAUCAAACAGUUUGGUUUUAGAACUUUAGGUAUGUUUGGGAGCUUAAGAGGUAAGGGAUCAUGCUUGGUUUUUAAAAAAUGUUCAUUUUGAUAUUUUUUAGAAACACUAGGAACUAACGAUAAUUAUCAGAAUUUAGUUGAAGUAGAGAUUAACACAAUCGGACGGGUCAUACGUGAUAUACGAUAUUAUCAAUGAGAACCACGGCAGAAGUGACGACGCGUCGACGCCAAAGCAACAAAAAAUUUUAAAAGGAAAACCAAUACUUGGACGCACGAUGGCAAUAUAUUAUAGUGGAAAAAGCUAGGGAGUUCGACAUAAAUGAUGCAGAGAGGAGGCAAGAUACUGUUAGUACAUGACAAGAAUUGAUCCCUCUUAACAUGUCAACGAUUUUUGUAUCGUUCUUGAUAAGCAUCAACUAAGCUCUCUUAUUAAUACUAUCAAGAGAGUCAAAUACAAAUUUUGAAUACGAAGUCGUGCCAAAUUUUAACCCGAGUUUCACAAGAAAAUUUUAAGGUUAUUGCAAAUGAGGGACUUCAUCUAGUUACAAUGAUCACUACAUUUCAAGCAUCCGCUUUCUAGGCAGACUUACUGCACAAGUUCACAUGUACUCUCUUUCACUCACUCUAUAGUCAGUCGCUAUUGAUUAGGUUGUGGAGCCCAUGCAAACCCUCCUAAAGAAAAGUAAAUUAGUGGCAAGAUGGCGGGGCCGUGCAAUAACAAGAGGAUGCUAUACGACAUUAGUCGAAGAUGCUGCCGGGGCCUUAAAAUACCAUAAUCAUAUGGGGGUCAACAAUGAGGAUCGCGUGCAUAAAUGGUAGCCUUAUUACAAUAGCUUAAACUGCGGCUGAUAGUGAUUGAAACUAACGAUACGUAGAUGAUUGAAUGGCAAUUACAAACAUACUUGCGUAUGCAGACAAAAUGGAAAUAAAUGAACGAAGACACCCGUCGAAGAUAAUUUUCUCUCUUGAAAAAAGUAGAUACAUUGACUUGUCGAAACGAAUAGAUUACAAAUCAUCUUGGCAACCCAUUUGUAUCAAUCACGGUGACCCAUUUCGAUCACAUAAAUAAGGAUUAACACGUCUAACCCCGAUCGUUGAAAAAUGCCACGCACCGACAGAUGCUGAUUUAUUGCCAAGUUAUGAUAACUUAAUGUGUCAAAGCUACCCUUGCUUCAACCAAUGCAAACGAAAGCCACAGAGAGAAUUCACAGGUGGAAACUAAAUUAUUCUUGUUCAGGUUCUUUAGUUCUCUGAAUUGGGUUCACUACUCACGAACUCCAGGAGUAUGUACCGUUCUCUUUACCAAAGAUAUUUUCCACGGAUUCCCACCUAAUUCUUCAAACACUACAAUCAAGUUCUUGGUUGGCUUUAGCCAGGACCUUGGAAUGUGAUACCUGCGAAAUUUCCAAAUAGAAAGCGGUUAAAUGUCAUUCCUCCAUCAUUGGCCUCAUAAAAAAAAUAAUAAUAAUACAUAGUGACAUUGGAUCCGACACACUGCACCAAAGAAGGCCAUUGCAUUAUUAUCAUCAUUAUUCAUAUCUAGAGAGUAACGAUACUGACACCCGUCGCACACUAUUUUAUCACCCUGCACGUGACAUUGAUCUGACAUACCACACAAGUUCAACGGCUCUAAAAAGUAGCAUUUUCCUGAAGACAUAAAAUAAGUUUGCUGUUAUCUUUUACAGAAAAGCAGUACCAUCGUUGAGUGGGUUGUCCACAACCAAGUUGGCACUUUACAGGCCGGAAUGUCCCAGAAUAGCUGCAAGAUUUACAGUCACCCUUUGCAUAAGUCAUCCAAUAUCUCCCUAUGCUCUGCCCGUUGAUCCAUACUUGACCCUUACCCAUACUUCCCAUGUCCAAAGCCAGUGGUUCUUUACCCCCAGGUGCAUCAAAAUAAGCCUGUAGGUUUGAAGUAGAUGAUAAGAUUCUAGUUGAUAUAGGUUAUAG